rnacentral:rRNA from 1 species
AGAGUUUGAUCCUGGCUCAGAACGAACGUUGGCGGCGUGGAUUAGGCAUGCAAGUCGAGCGGGAUUAACUCGCUUCAAUCUUUCGGGAGAGAAGCUUGUUAUGAGAGCGGCGAACGGGUGAGUAAUAUAUGGGUAAUUUGCCUCUUUGUUCGGAAUAGCCAUCGGAAACGAUGAUUAAUGCCGGAUGUGAUCACUCCGCACCUGCGGAGCUGUUUAAAGGCGGGGAAUCUUCGGAUCCUGUCGCAAAGAGAUAAGCCCAUAUCCUAUCAGCUUGUUGGUGAGGUAAUGGCUCACCAAGGCUUACGGGUAGCCGGCCUGAGAGGGUGACCGGCCACACUGGGACUGAGACACUGCCCAGACUCCUACGGGAGGCUGCAGUCGAGAAUCAUUGUCAAUGCACGAAAGUGUGAACAUGCGACGCCGCGUGGAGGAUGACGGCCUUCGGGUUGUAAACUCCUGUCAGCAGGGAAGAAAUGUUGCCUUACUAAUAGUGUGGUAACUUGACGGUACCUGCAGAGGAAGUCACGGCUAACUCUGUGCCAGCAGCCGCGGUAAUACAGAGGUGGCGAACGUUGUUCGGAUUUACUGGGCGUAAAGGGUCCGCAGGCGGAUCGGUAUGUCAGAUGUGAAAGCCCACAGCUCAACUGUGGAAUUGCAUUUGAAACUGCCGGUCUAGAGUACUGGAGGGGAGAAGGGAACACUUGGUGUAGCGGUGAAAUGCGUAGAUAUCAAGUGGAACACCGGCGGCGAAGGCGCUUCUCUGGACAGAUACUGACGCUCAUGGACGAAAGUUAGGGUAGCGAAAGGGAUUAGAUACCCCUGUAGUCCUAACCGUAAACGGUGUGCACUAGGCGUGGGAGGCUUUACCCCCUUCCGUGCCUGAGCUAACGCAUUAAGUGCACCGCCUGGGGAGUACGGUCGCAAGAUUAAAACUCAAAGGAAUUGACGGGGACCCGCACAAGCGGUGGAGCAUGUGGCUUAAUUCGAUGCAACGCGAAGAACCUUACCUGGGCUUGACAUAUCACUGCAUACGAUCCGAAAGGAACGUAGCCUUCGAGGGUGUGAUACAGGUGCUGCAUGGCUGUCGUCAGCUCGUGCCGUGAGGUGUUGGGUUAAGUCCCGCAACGAGCGCAACCCCUGUGUUUAGUUGCCAGCACGUAAUGGUGGGAACUCUAAACAGACUGCCUGUGAAAGCAGGAGGAAGGUGGGGAUGACGUC